CCUAGUUAGCCCUUUUUGUCCUCGUAAACUGUCAAAUGCAUUCAAAAGAAUCGGUCUAUCAGCAUGUUGAAAACAAAUAAAUAAAAACAGAACUACUUUUCCAAAGGUUCCUAGUUCGAUUUUGAAAUAAUUAAGUUUUUGUUUUCUUCAGCACAGCAUAAAAAGGUAGUCGAAUGAAAUCUCAUACCGAGGAUAUCUUUACCGGCCGUGGUCUCUCCAUCUUCGUUUCAUCGGUUGACAUCGAGAAAAUCCUAUCAGAAAACACGUAUCGAAACAUUUGUAGUGCGAGAGGAACCUUCCAUCUUUGGCUUGGGUGUUUGUUUGGUGACUGCGGUAGACGAGACGACAGCCUGAAAAAGAUGUGUCUUCACGAUUCUUGGUUGGAAUCACCAUUUGUUUGGACUGGCUAUCGAGUUGAGCUUGUUUCGAUUCCAGUGAUGGGUACUGAAAAUAUUUUAGUGAGAGAACCGUACCGGAGGUUUAAACCGUUUGAUCCUGUGUGAGAACAGACUACGCGAGGCCAUUAUGCAUACCAAGAUUCUUAUAUAGUUAAUUAUGUGAAGAUUUCGUUCUACUGAUGUUCACGAAAAAAAAUAUGUGUUUGUUUCAUCGCUAGAACUGAAAUCUACAACGUGGACUAUAAUACAGCAUAAUUUUCUUCUAUGCUUUCGGGUAAUCUGCUGUCAUGCGUGGUCAAAUGGACCAUCCCUCCAGUUCGGGAUAGAGCAUAAUCUAUGUCCUGGGAAGCCUUCCGCCAAAGGCCUGUAUUCUCAUGUUGUAUGCUCAACUCAAUACCAAUCAUAACUGGUACGGCAGUUUUUCGAUGGUCGUUGCCAGCUUUGAAGCCUAGAUUUGUGUGGGAUGUCAAAAUCUACACAACAACGGUCAAUCUAUGGCAGGUGAGAGCUACUGGUAUAAAAAUUGUUCUGGUUUUGGAUUGUGGGCGUUGCUCUUUACGACAAAGUUUAACUCCCACAUCCCAGGCAGCGCCACAGGUUUCUAGAAUAGAGCGUGGAAAUUCAAACAGCACCUGCAUGCAGAAAAUCGAUUACCUUUU